rnacentral:rRNA from 1 species
CCCUUAGAUGUUCUGGGCAGCACGCGCGCUACAAUGGUCUUCGCAAACGGAUGCAUUCUCGAAGGAGAAUGCCAAUCUUGGAAUCUAUGCCUUGGUCGGGACAGUUGCUUGCAAUUUUUCGACUCGAACCAGGAAUUCCUUGUAAUCGUGAUUCAUCACAUCACGAUGAAUACGUCCCUGCCCUUUGUACACACCGCCCGUCGCACCUACCGAUUGAAUGGUUCGGUGAAGAUCUCGGACUUCGAUAUUUAUUCUUUACUGAGUUUAUAUUGUGGGAAGUUAUCUAAACCUCAUCAUUUAGAGGAAGGUGAAGUCGUAACA